UCUCCGUAGGUGAACCUGCGGAGGGAUCAUUACAGAGUUCAUGCCCUAACGGGUAGAUCUCCCACCCUAUGUUAUCAUCACUUUGUUGCUUUGGCGGGCCGUCAGGCCUCGGCUUGGCUACCGGCUCUCGCUGGUAAGCGCCCGCCAGAGAUCCCCCAACCCUGAAUAUCAGUGUCGUCUGAGUAAUAUAUAAUAGUUAAAACUUUCAACAACGGAUCUCUUGGUUCUG
rnacentral:misc_RNA from 1 species